rnacentral:tRNA from 2 species
AGCUCAGUUGGUAGAGCGCUUGACUGUUAAUCAAGAUGUCGUCAGUUCGAGUCUGACA